GUAAAUCUUAUCACGGCCGGUGACUGCAUUGUGUUUUUUCCUGUAGAUGAUGACAAACUUACUGUUGACAGAAGGAGACUUGAUUCAGGUUGAGAACGUUUCCCUUAAGGUGGCCACGUUUGCCAGAUUUCAGCCCCAGUCUGUGGAUUUCCUGGAUAUUACAAAUCCUAAAGCUGUCUUGGAAAACAUGCUGCGAAGUUUUGCCUGUUUGUCGACAGAUGAUGUCAUAUCUAUAAAGUACAAUGAAAGGGCAAGUACUCGUAAUGAUACAAUUUAAAUUGAUUUUUAAAUUACUGCAUGGUAUCAAAAUGGAUUUUAGAAAGCAAGCACUUGAUUUUUAUUUGAGUCAAGUGAAAAUGAUAUAAUAAUGUUGAGAGAUCUAGCAUCCCAUUCCCAAAAUAUCAUGGGAUAUUAUGUUAUACAAUUUGACAUCAAUUCUGUAUGUCAAUUAUCUUUUAAAAUAAGAUCUAUGCAAGGCUCAGUUGACUUAGUUUGAAUGUGGUGACUGAUAUUAACUGUGUAUUUGUUGGUUGUUUGUUGUUUAUUCAGUUAUAACUGAUGUUUGGUUCCAGAAUUAUGAUCUGUUAGUGCUGGAGACUAAGCCAGACCGGGCGGUGUCCAUCAUCGAGUGUGACAUGAAUGUGGACUUUGCCCCUCCUGUCGGGUACAAAGAACCUGAAUUCCAGAAGAAGACCCAGGGUGAUGAGGAGAUGGCAUCAGCAGAAGUGGAUCACAUGGAUACAGAUGCCUCAUUCAAGGUAUUCAGUGGUGCAGGCAAUAGACUAGACGGAAAGAAGAAAGGCACAGAACCUGCCCCCUUGGAGGGUCAUUCUGUAGCCCCCAAACGAGGAAUCCCAGACUAUGGAUAUAAGAAGGGAACCAUCAAGUUCAUCCGGACCGCUAGACAAGUCAACAAUGAGUCUGCAGAGGAGGAGAAAUCAUUCGAAGCAUUUUCUGGUGCGGGUCAGUCUCUCAGGAAGAAAGGAAGGAGAUGAGCGGAGGCCAGAAUCUGUCCUAUUUAUUUCAAUCCUUUACAUGAUUUCCGUAACUGGACUUUUUUGGGAAGAGAGAGUUGUUCAUUGUGUCUCACAUACAUUAUGACACUGUUUCAUGAAUGCUUCUGAAUUUGAAUGGUAGAAAAUUGUACAUAUGUGUUAAUGUUAAAGUAUGUGUUGAAGUAAACUUAGAAAAACCUGCAUUAUGUUGAUGGUUGAUCUAAGCAAAUGAAGGGAUGAGGGUGGAAAUUGUUGUUGAUUUCAUACAGAGCUAACAAAUCUGGUAAAAAUAACAAAUAACGUUAUGUUAAAACAUAAAUCUAAUUUAUUUACAGAUCAACAGUGCAAAUUUACAACCAAAUGCCUCUAUAAUAUAAAAAAAUCU
rnacentral:misc_RNA from 1 species